GGAAGUAAAAGUCGUAACGAGGUUUCCGUAGGUGAACCUGCGGAAGGAUCACCAUUGUAUAACCGAGGUGCGAGGGCUGUCGCUGACCCGAAAGGUCGUGCACGCCCGAGUGCCCUCACACACAUACGUCUCACCCCUAUGUGCACCACCGCGUGGGUCCCCCUUUGGCUUGUUCGGAGGGGGGCUUACGUUUUCACACAAACUUUGUAUGCAGUGUAGAAUGUAUUUUUUGUUUUUGCGAUCACGCAAUCAAUACAACUUUCAACAACGGAUCUCUUGGCUCUC
rnacentral:misc_RNA from 1 species